CCAGUCCCUAGAAAUGUGCCUGUAACAGUUCAGCAAGAAAUGACAAGAUCUUUUCCAGGAUAUUUUAAAUCAAACUUCAGUCCUGGUAAAAAGAGGUGUUUGACUGCCACCAAGCAACUUGUAAAGACAAGUAAAACAACUGCUCUCAAUUUUUAUCUUCUUCCCAAAAAUACAUCCCACACACCGUUGCCAACUGAGGAGCUUGAACUCCUCCAGGCGGGUAUGGGAAGACAAACAGUGUCUCUUCCAGAAGAUGGUGACCACACAGAGAUUUCAAAGCACCUGGG